CCCUCCUGGCUGAGAGACGACAGGAUGCUCGACUUCUCAGCUCUCCAUCCCUCACCCCUCUUUCUCUCUUUUCUCUGUCAGCCUCUUCCUUGCUGUCAGUGCUAACAUCCUCAUUUCUCUCACUCGUCUUUGACUUCUUCCUGGAAAGAAAGCCUUUGGUGUUGCCUUGGGGAGCCAACAGGUGUGCAUGGAUUAGUUCUCUAUGAGUGCAGUGCAGUCAGUGUUCUAAGGACAUUUCUCUCCUUUAUUCAGAAGAUGGAGAAGAAAUGUCACUGGAUCAAGGCGCAUCGGAUUUGCCAUUUUUCUUGCUUAUUGCUUAAUGUCGGAGUAUCACAAGCAGGAGACGAUACAGAGGAAGGCAAGUGAUGCAGGUGGAGGGGUGAUGUCAAACGUCAGCAUCAGCAACAUGAUGGGAUGACGACAAGGUGCCACUGAGCAACAACAUGGCUCCUUCCUGAUGAAUUCAUGGAUGCUGCACCUUUUGUAACUUUAACGGACGGACGCUUUGGAGAUUAAUUAGUGUGCAUGGUUUAAUCCUUCAACUUGGGUAAAGGAGAGCAGCACAAAUAUUCUGACAUACAAUAGAUUGGAAAUGAAACGGAUGACAUCACAAUACUUUGGACCAGUGGAGCACUAACAAAAGGAAUAUGACUUUGUCUUUACAGCUUAAUGGGGGUGAUGUGAAAAUGGCUGGAGCUCCAAAGUUGUCUGGAAAUCCACCUGGCGAACUGUCGGGACAAAAGCUCAAGAAAGGACACAUGGCAGCCCAAUGAGACAACAGGACAACAGAAGCAUUCAACAGCUGCAGGAUUUCUCAUUCUCGGAUGAAAAAUGGUGAGUAAUCUCAGAUUGCUUUGGGGAAAUUCUACUUGAAAAGACGACCUCUGUGGAAUUUCACUGAUUUACAACGGACAUGAAACCUUAAAAGAAGCUGCAUCUGAUGUGUCUCAUCCAUGUCCUGAUGAGUAGACACUAACGCUGACUGCAUGACUCAGGAACUGUGGGAACUGGUCCUCCUGAACUACAACCGCUUUCAUGCAUCCAAAACCACAGAAGGUAAAGUACUUAUUCUGCACACAAGUGGUGCUGAAGUCUCUUUUUGAAGACGGACAGCACAAACCACUGUAUCCUUCCUGCUGUUGUCAGGUGGCUGGAAGACCAGAAAGGCCUUCACAGCUUGGAGGACAAACCCCUCCUUCAGUUUCAACUGAAAUCUUACUGCGUGUUUCAUUUCUGCUACAUCAAACAUAUCGGAAUAAAUCCAAGAAUGCAGUGAAGUGCCACUUUGAUUAACAACUGGUGCUAAAGAAGUCAUAUGGCUGUGAAGAUAUUGAACUGUUAGCUGCAUCUAUGCUACGUACCCGUGGAAUUUUACGUUAUUCACCGACUGAGACUCUGGACUGCACUCUUUGCUUUAUUGUAUCGUAUUUCUUGCAUAAUAUGCAUCUUCCACAACAACUUCUUGCAUAAAGGUCACAGAUGACCAACUAGUAACAACCAAAAGAUUAGCUUUCCUGUUGAAAUAUCCAACAUGAACAUCUUGUCCUCCAACUUUGUGUGUUUAACGAAGCGCCAAACAAACUUUCAGACGAGGAGUGUCCAGCUGACAUCAUGAUGCAGCACAGAUGGCUAAUAAUCUGCAAAAAUCUGGGCCCUGUAAAGCCUCAGCAGGCCCCUUUUCCUUCUUAUACAUCCACUGUUGCACUUAGUUACUAAACAAGCCCAUGUAUCUGCUGUUGUUUGGACAAGUACCAGUGAAGUGCUCUUCUUCCUCGCCGUACUGUGAGAAACUGAUGAUGCAGUCAGAAAGAAAUCUUUAAGUUUUACGUUGGUUAGUUUUACUGUGCCUACCAACACCACAUUUUCCAUUAUCCGCAUUUCCACAAAAAAUCUUUAUUCUUAUCUUUAUUCUUUCUUUUAAUAUUAAUGAAAUAUUAAUGUCUAAAAAGAUGGACUAAAGAUUUUUUUUAAUUAUAAAAGAAGGAGGAAAUGUGAUUAGUUGGAUUUCAGCCCUUUCAAUCUGCGCUUUUGUAUUUCCCUAUUAUGUGUUUCUAAUUUAUUUUUCAGAAUAACCAGCACUACUUAAAAUGUUUUAUUUGAAGUACUUGGCUGCAGGUAAACUAAUCAAGUGCAACAACAGAGAUUUACUUAUUAAUUUGAACCACUGACAUAACUAUGACUCAUUAAAGCGUUGUCUUCACCAACCAAUAACACAGAAGUAGCUCUACAGAGUUUCAUUUUCAAAUACAGAGAAGACAACAUGAAAGAUGUCCAGAAGAAUUUCUGAUGAGAUCAAUUCAACCAGAACAACUAUUCCUCCACUAUGUGUAAAGCGUUUACACGUCUUCACUUAAUCCUGUUCAAAUGUGAACACUUCCAUGUGCCUCUGAAUAAUGUUUGUUGUUGUCUUUAUCAUUUUGGAGCCUCACUUUAAAAAAAAAAACACGUAAACAACCAUCCUCAAACAUGCCAUGGUUUCUUGACACUGCAUCUCCAGUGCUUCCAUGAUUAUGUUUAUACCCACUGGUGGUCAAAACCCUGAAAUUGCUUCACUGGAUUUUGCUUAUUUGGAGCCAUUUGAGGGGCAGUAACUCAGCAUGGCAAAAACCAUCACACGGGAAUCAAGAACUGAUAAUGUGAGAGAGCAAAUGACUGUGUUCCGUGAUCACACAGAGUCAGCACAAAGGCAGCGACUCUCAACCCAUCCUAGACCGUGCUGUAAAUAAAAGCAUCCAAACGUCCCUGAGAAGCCGUCGCUCUGAACCAGAUGCUUCUCUUCAUCAGCUGUCAAUUGAGUCCUUUAGCAGAAACCUGAAGACUGAACAACAGAGUUAAUUCACUGAGCCUCAGCGUGACAAAGUCCCUCUCCCUGCUCACCAUGAAAUCAAUAGACGAAUAGAUGCUACAUUAGAAAAUGGAGCAAAGUGUCGUCACUGUCAAGAUAUUAUUUGGUCAGUGUGAGAUACUUCCAUCCAUUCUCUGAUCUGAUUGCAGCCUCUAAAGAAUUCCUCUGCAGGAUUUUUCUUGUUGCUGCUGCCUCUGUGUCCACGUGUUUCUGUGCUGGAAGCAAAAAAAAAAAAAAAAAGGCAGCGAGAGGAGGUUGUCACAGCGAGCGCAAAAACAGAGCAGACGAGCCACUUAACAGCACUAUACCCAACUGGUGCAAGGGAGCGAGAGGAAAAUCCAGCCAUGCCAGCGUGCCAAUAUAGUUUACCAGCUCGCUGAGAGGCGGGCAGCACCUGACAGAUGCCACUUGGAGCAUAAUUCCAGUGGGCUGAAAAGAUCCUCUACAUGACGGGAAGCCAGAGAAGCGGGAGGAGACCGGAAUACCCAACAACUAAACGCAGUGUUAAUGUUGUCUGUGCAUCUAUUGCAUCCAUUCCUUCCUGUUUUACUGUGUUUAGAAGCUGAGGAAACAAAAUGCAAAGAAAAAACUGAUGCUGUUAAUAAAUGGUGACUUGUUUCAGAUCUCAAUAUGUUCAGAUUUACUGUGUUUCUUUGUCUUGUGUGAUAAUAAACGGAAUAUCUUGAUGUUUUGCAAGUGAUUUCAAUAUUUUGCCUUCAGCUCUGGGGG
ensembl:lncRNA